GACGAACGCUGGCGGCGUGCUUAACACAUGCAAGUCGAGCGGAAAGGCCCUUCGGGGUACUCGAGCGGCGAACGGGUGAGUAACACGUGGGUAACCUGCCCUUCACCCUGGGAUAACUCCGGGAAACCGGGGCUAAUACCGGAUACGACCACUUUAGGCAUCUUCGGUGGUGGAAAGUUUUUCGGUGGAGGAUGGACCCGCGGCCUAUCAGCUUGUUGGUGGGGUAAGUGGCCUACCAAGGCAGUGACGGGUAGCCGGCCUGAGAGGGCGACCGGCCACACUGGGACUGAGACACGGCCCAGACUCCUACGGGAGGCAGCAGUGGGGAAUAUUGCGCAAUGGGCGGAAGCCUGACGCAGCGACGCCGCGUGAGGGAUGACGGCC
rnacentral:rRNA from 1 species